rnacentral:tRNA from 1 species
GGUUGUAUAGUGUAGCGGUUAGCACGCGGCAUUUUGAUUGGUAUCAAAGAUCUUGUUUCUGACAGGAACUUGUAUUGCUGAAUCCCAGGUUCGAGCCCUGGUACGACCU